CACGUAGAACUGUACAGCACGGAUGACAAAUAAGUAACGUAUUACCGGUCCUUAGAAUGGCCGGAUUUAACGUACAAAGAAUAGUCAAAAAUACUAGCCGAGGUCAGGGAACACAGAAAGAGACAGCGAUGAGGAAAACCAGGAGUCAGGAUACCAGAAUAUAGAGAAGUAAAUAAACAAAGCCAAAGUCAAAAACCAGGUAGAAAACUAUAAACAGGAACGCGCUCUCAGACAACCACAAGGGAAACCACGACAGGGCACUGAGCAGGAUGAGAACUGGGCCUAAAUACCCCUCCUUUAGUUCUGAUAGGCUGACCCCAAAGUCAGUUACCAGGUUUCAUUUGCAUAAUUGCUGCUCAGCAUUAACCCUUCUGUGGAUUAGGUUGCUGCUCGGCACAACUUUUCCUGUGUG